CAUUCCCUGCAGUGCUCGAAGCAAGCGGAUAGUUUUUGAGCCAACACCUGUUCUUAAGGGCCUAAACCUUCGGGCGUGGUGUGCACGCCCCGCAUGGCGCGGGGAAGCCUAAAGCGUUCGAGGCGGCACCAUCUUUCGAAUAGGUUCAAAACGUUCGCCUGCCCGACACAGGCGGGGAAUUU
rnacentral:other from 1 species